rnacentral:lncRNA from 1 species
GCGGGCACUGUUCACAACGUCCCUUCCGUCUCCUGUGUGAAGGCAGUGCAUUAAAAGCAAUCUAUCGAUCACCAACCAUGUCGCAUUCAGAUAUGUCAUCAGGAAAAGAGAGAACUUGCAUGAACACCACGACUGAACAGUGCGAUUCUAAAUGCGACGAAGGGGGCCAAUGCCGGGGCAACUCAGGCAAGAGGAGAACCGACAUCGGGACGGAGCAUGAGUGCUGCGACGGCUCAGAGAGAGAGGAAAGAGACGGGAAGACUGAACGUUCGGCUUGCGGCGACAGACAUAAAUAGGUCGACUGUGUCUCUCUUCCUUUGGAGAUGGACUCUGCUUUUGAUGGAUUCUGACCAACUUUUUCGUAGGUGGGCUUCGUAUCUUUAAGUCUGUAGUCUAUCGGUCGUCAGCAACGGAAUUUGUCCAAAUAUUCGCGAUAUUGCACAGCUUCCCUUGAUUAAAUAUCAUUUUAGUAUCAAUCAGAAUUUAAUAUUUCAUAUCAAGCUUCAGUCUUUAACAGCACUUUAAGUAUCUGCAUCCUUCCCUUACCCAAUAUAUCAGGGUGAGUAUCCUUUCUGAAAAAAAGGGCUAUUGGUCAAGACACGUGUUUUUUGAAGGGCUGCACCUCUUUUCUACAUGCUGAUUACUGGGACCUAAUUUAUAGAACUGACUAUAGAAAAAACUGUAUUUCAGAAUUUGCUUAAAAGGAAAAUCAAUUAGGAAUGUCUACUGAUGGGAAAUAACUUUUUAGGCUGAUAAUCUUCAUUAGUAACCACAUUUUUUUGGGUCUGAUCUUGGAGGUCUGACCGAUGUAUGAUGGUGUCUCUCAUACAUUGGUCGAUUUUUUUUAAAAUUUAGGAUUAUUUCGCGUAAUAUGAAGACAUUCUUGAUUUUUUUUACUUCUUCCCAACUGUCUUACUAUCGGCUAAUGAGUUUUACAAGAUCAGGCUAAAAAAGACUUAGAGGGUUACAGGCUGCACGGAUCACUUUGUAUCUUUCAUUCACACCUAUUGUAGUCAUAUUGUGUACUCUUUAUGUAUGAGUAGAUAUAAACAUAUUUCGUACAUAUCUUGAACACAGAUAUUUCCACACACUCGUAAUGCUUCGAAGGAACUUACCUUUAUCAUACUCGCAAUGCUUUGAUCUGUAAGAGGAAAAACAGAAUUUAGCAACUGAAAUAAAUGCAACUGAUUUUCUUGUAUAUUUUUUGCAAAUGAUAUAUUUUGUUAUAUUUUGCUGAUGGAUAUGUUUUUGAACUAUUAUAUUUGUUAAUUGAUAUAUCUGUCAUUUUUUGCAAUUGAUAUAUUUUGUUAUCUUUUGUUGAUUAAGCUUAUUAGUUCUAGUUAUAAUCAUUUUUGAAGGUAAGUCAGCAUUUAUUUUGAUGAUAUUAAACUCCGCAUUGUAAGAUGAAUAAAGGUGAAAAAUAGCA